rnacentral:rRNA from 1 species
GGGCGAGGGCGGGGGCUAUACAUGCAGUCGAACGCUUCUUUUUCCACCGGAGCUUGCUCCACCGGAAAAAGAGGAGUGGCGAACGGGUGAGUAACACGUGGGUAACCUGCCCAUCAGAAGGGGAUAACACUUGGAAACAGGUGCUAAUACCGUAUAACAAUCAAAACCGCAUGGUUUUGAUUUGAAAGGCGCUUUCGGGUGUCGCUGAUGGAUGGACCCGCGGUGCAUUAGCUAGUUGGUGAGGUAACGGCUCACCAAGGCCACGAUGCAUAGCCGACCUGAGAGGGUGAUCGGCCACAUUGGGACUGAGACACGGCCCAAACUCCUACGGGAGGCAGCAGUAGGGAAUCUUCGGCAAUGGACGAAAGUCUGACCGAGCAACGCCGCGUGAGUGAAGAAGGUUUUCGGAUCGUAAAACUCUGUUGUUAGAGAAGAACAAGGAUGAGAGUAACUGUUCAUCCCUUGACGGUAUCUAACCAGAAAGCCACGGCUAACUACGUGCCAGCAGCCGCGGUAAUACGUAGGUGGCAAGCGUUGUCCGGAUUUAUUGGGCGUAAAGCGAGCGCAGGCGGUUUCUUAAGUCUGAUGUGAAAGCCCCCGGCUCAACCGGGGAGGGUCAUUGGAAACUGGGAGACUUGAGUGCAGAAGAGGAGAGUGGAAUUCCAUGUGUAGCGGUGAAAUGCGUAGAUAUAUGGAGGAACACCAGUGGCGAAGGCGGCUCUCUGGUCUGUAACUGACGCUGAGGCUCGAAAGCGUGGGGAGCAAACAGGAUUAGAUACCCUGGUAGUCCACGCCGUAAACGAUGAGUGCUAAGUGUUGGAAGGGUUUCCGCCCUUCAGU